rnacentral:rRNA from 1 species
GACGUAGGGCGCGAGCGUUGUCCGGAUUUAUUGGGCGUAAAGAGCUCGUAGGUGGUUCGGUAAGUCGGAUGUGAAAUCUCCAGGCUCAACCUGGAGGGGUCAUUCGAUACUGCCGUGACUAGAGUUCGGUAGGGGAGUGUGGAAUUCCUGGUGGAGCGGUGAAAUGCGCAGAUAUCUGGAGGAACACCGGUGGCGAAGGCGGCGUUCUGGACUGCAACUGACACUGAGAAACGAAAGCCAGGGUAGCAAACGGG